AGCUUGGAUUCUGAUUUAGAGGUGUUAAGUCAUAAUCCGACACACGGUAGCUUCGCACCACUGCCUUUUCAACCAAGCGCGAUGACCACUUGUGUGAAUCAAUGGUUCCUCUUGUACUAGGUUGAAUUACUAUCACGGCAUGGUCAUCAGCAGAGUAAAACUAACCUAUCUCACGACGGUCCAUACCUAGCUCACGUUCCCUAUUGUUGGGUGAACAAUCCAACACUUGGUGAAUUCUGCUUCAAAAUGAUAGGAAGAGCCGACAUCGAAGGAUCAAAAAGCAAUGUUGCUAUGAGCGCUUGGCUGCCACAAGCCAGUUAUACAUGUGGUAACUUUUCUGACACCUCUAGCUUCAAACUCCGAAGGUCUAAAAGAUCGAUAGACCACGCUUUCUCGAUUCGUAUUCGUACUGGAAAUCAGAAUCAAACGAGUACCCCCCCAUGCAAUGGUGGAGCCACCAAUACAGCAGGGUGAGGCAGCUAGCCCAGCUACUGCCGAAGCAGAUCCCGACUCCCCAUGGUGUUUUUAGUCGGCCGGAGGCGAGCAGGAGGUCGGAGAAGUGAGCGGUGGCGGCGUUCUGGCGAGUAGGAGGUCAGAGGAGGAAGAAGGAAAAAGAAGGCCGGCUUGGGCCAUCGCUGGUGAAGUGGUGGUUAAGUGGAAAAAGCCCAUGACCCAAAUAACAUUGGCCCAACAGCAAACCAAAACAUUCACCUCCACCGUUUCCCCCUUCUCGCUGGCUCUGUGUCGCCUCCGACCCCCCUGUCCCAUUUGUGUCCACUCCUAGCGGGCGGCCACCAAAACCCUAGCCGCCGCCCCUUCGGUUGCCAGAUGACAGAGCCGCCGCCCACCAGCCCGCGGCCAUUGCCGCUGUCCUGUGGGCAGUGGGGGAUUCCAUGGAGGAGUAGGAGGGCCAAGACAGCAGGGGAGCAAGCCCCCCCUCCCCCGCCCCAGGAGUGGCGUGGAUGCCACCGCCGCUGUUGGGCACUUCCGUGAAAGAAGGGCGGCGCCGGUACCACCUGAUGCUGAGGAGCAGAGCACGGUCUCGACCGGUGCUGGCGUUGGGCGAGGGCAUGGCGCCCCAAAUCGCCCCUGUCUUCCAAUCGGUGAGAAGAAAUUGGUGACAAGAGAUUUGAAGAGCUUCUUUUCUAGUGUGAGUGUCAGCUCUGGUCCUGAUGCAUUCGGGUGCCCAAGUACCCGGGAAAGUGAAAUUGUGGAUCAAGAUCAAAAGCAGGUCCAAGUCCAAUCUGUGGUUGUUGAUGUAGAAGAAGCAUUACCUGAGGUUGGGGCAGAUCUAGCAGAAGCAAAUGUGGAAGAAGAAGAGGAUGAAGGGGCAAUUUCUUAGAGAUGCUUGAAUGGCAUAAGAGAAGGGACCCUAAGGUGAAGACUGCAUUUGACCAUUUGUGUCCAAAAAAUGCAAAAACAACUUGCCCAGAAAUUCAGAAGGACAUAACAGACAGUUGUGCAAAAGAAAUCAGCAAAGUAAUAAAGGAGGAAAUUGGGGAUAAUCUUUUUUCCAAUCUCAUUGAUGAAUCUCGUGAUGUCUCAAUAGCAGAGCAAAUGGCUAUUAUUGUAAGAUUUAUGAACAAACAAGGAAUGGUUGUGGAAAGGUUGCUAGAUUGACUGAAAUAUAUGAUCAAGAUUUCUCUGACCUAGAACGUUCUAAUAUAAGAGAUCAACUUGAGACCUUUGUCAUACAUAUGCGAAGAGUUGAUUUUUUCAAAGAUUGUCAUAAUUUGGGAAGUUUGGCUAUAUAAAUGGUUAAACAUGAAAGAGAUAUUACUUUUCCAUUAGUCUUUUGGCCCAUUAAGUUAGGAUUGCUUCUACCAUUAGCAACAACAUCGGUUGAAAGAGCUUUUUCAGCUAUGAAUAUAAUCAAGACAGAUCUACGAAAUAGAAUGAAUGAUGAGUGGCUUCAUAGUUUGAUAUUGUGCUACAUUGAGAAGCAAAUUUUUAGAGACCUUGAUUCAGAAGAAAUUAAGAAGAUAUCUCAAGCUACCAAGAAUCGUAUAGACUUGCCCAGGCUACCUAGAAAACCUAGACUUGAAUAGUUUGUGUUAGUAGAAUAUGUGUUGAAAAAAUUAUGUUAUGACAUCUUAAACCUUUGUAUCUAAAAUUUAUUUGUAGUUUGGUGAUUUACUGUCGUUAUUUCA